rnacentral:snRNA from 1 species
AUCGCUUCUCGGCCUUUUGGCUAAGAUCAAGUGUAGUAUCUGUUCCUAUCAGUUUAAUAUCUGAUACGCCCCCUAUCUGGGGGCCUUAUAUUAAAUGGAUUUUUAGAACAGGGAGAUGGAAGAAGAGCUUGCUCUGUCCACUCCACGCAUUGACCUGGUAUUGCAGUACCUCCAGGACCGGUGCACAAAAA